rnacentral:rRNA from 1 species
AACGAACGCUGGCGGCAUGCCUAACACAUGCAAGUCGAACAAUGCUUUCGGGCAUAGUGGCGCACGGGUGCGUAACGCGUGGGAAUCUGCCCUGGGGUUCGGGAUAACAGCGGGAAACUGCUGCUAAUACCGGAUGAUAUCGCGAGAUCAAAGAUUUAUCGCCCUGGGAUGAGCCCGCGUCGGAUUAGGUAGUUGGUGGGGUAAGAGCCUACCAAGCCGACGAUCCGUAGCUGGUCUGAGAGGAUGAUCAGCCACACUGGGACUGAGACACGGCCCAGACUCCUACGGGAGGCAGCAGUGGGGAAUAUUGGACAAUGGGCGCAAGCCUGAUCCAGCAAUGCCGCGUGAGUGAUGAAGGCCUUAGGGUUGUAAAGCUCUUUUACCCGGGAUGAUAAUGACAGUACCGGGAGAAUAAGCCCCGGCUAACUCCGUG